rnacentral:rRNA from 1 species
UACGGAGGGUGCGAGCGUUAUCCGGAAUUACUGGGUUUAAAGGGUGCGUAGGCGGCUGUGUAAGUCAGGAGUGAAAGUUUGCGGCUCAACCGUAAAAUUGCUUUUGAUACUGCAUGGCUAGAAUUAGGAUGAGGUCAGCGGAAUGUGGCAUGUAGCGGUGAAAUGCAUAGAUAUGCCAUAGAACACCAAUUGCGAAGGCAGCUGGCUAGACCUGGAUUGACGCUGAGGCACGAAAGCGUGGGGAGCGAACAGG